CGGAUGGUGGAAUCGGUAGACACAAGGGAUUUAAAAUCCCUCGGCGUUCGCGCUGUGCGGGUUCAAGUCCCGCUCCGGGUACCA
rnacentral:tRNA from 1 species